UACAGAGGUGGCAAGCGUUGUUCGGAAUUACUGGGCGUAAAGGGCGCGUAGCGGCCGCCUAAGUCAGACGUGAAAUCCCCAAGCUUAACUUGGGACUGCGUCUGAUACUGGGUGGCUUGAGUUCGGGAGAGGAAUGUGGAAUUCCAGGUGUAGCGGGUGAAAUGCGCAGAUAUCAGGAGGAACACCGGUGGCGAAGGCGGGUCUCUGGGCCGAUACUGACGC
rnacentral:rRNA from 1 species